ACAUGCAAGUCGAGCGAAUGGAUUGAGAGCUUGCUCUCAAGAAGUUAGCGGCGGACGGGUGAGUAACACGUGGGUAACCUGCCCAUAAGACUGGGAUAACUCCGGGAAACCGGGGCUAAUACCGGAUAACAUUUUGAACUGCAUGGUUCGAAAUUGAAAGGCGGCUUCGGCUGUCACUUAUGGAUGGACCCGCGUCGCAUUAGCUAGUUGGUGAGGUAACGGCUCACCAAGGCAACGAUGCGUAGCCGACCUGAGAGGGUGAUCGGCCACACUGGGACUGAGACACGGCCCAGACUCCUACGGGAGGCAGCAGUAGGGAAUCUUCCGCAAUGGACGAAAGUCUGACGGAGCAACGCCGCGUGAGUGAUGAAGGCUUUCGGGUCGUAAAACUCUGUUGUUAGGGAAGAACAAGUGCUAGUUGAAUAAGCUGGCACCUUGACGGUACCUAACCAGAAAGCCACGGCUAACUACGUGCCAGCAGCCGCGGUAAUACGUAGGUGGCAAGCGUUAUCCGGAAUUAUUGGGCGUAAAGCGCGCGCAGGUGGUUUCUUAAGUCUGAUGUGAAAGCCCACGGCUCAACCGUGGAGGGUCAUUGGAAACUGGGAGACUUGAGUGCAGAAGAGGAAAGUGGAAUUCCAUGUGUAGCGGUGAAAAUGCGUAGAGAUAUGGAGGAACACCAGUGGCGAAGGCGACUUUCUGGUCUGUAACUGACACUGAGGCGCGAAAGCG
rnacentral:rRNA from 1 species